AUUGAACGCUGGCGGCAUGCCUUACACGUGCAAGUCGAACGGUAACAGGUUAAGCUGACGAGUGGCGAACGGGUGAGUAAUGUAUCGGAACGUGCCCAGUCGUGGGGGAUAACUGCUCGAAAGAGCAGCUAAUACCGCAUACGACCUGAGGGUGAAAGCGGGGGAUCGCAAGACCCCGCGCGAUUGGAGCGGCCGAUAUCAGAUUAGGUAGUUGGUGAGGUAAAGGCUCACCAAGCCGACGAUCUGUAGCUGGUCUGAGAGGACGACCAGCCACCCUGGGACUGGGACACGGCCCAGACUCCUACGGGAGGCAGCAGUGGGGAAUUUUGGACAAUGGGCGCAAGCCUGAUCCAGCCAUGCUGCGUGCGGGAAGAAGGCCUUCGGGUUGUAAACCGCUUUUGUCAGGGAAGAAAAGGUUCUGGCUAAUACCUGGGACUCAUGACGGUACCUGAAGAAUAAGCACCGGCUAACUACGUGCCAGCCGCCGCCGUAACAC
rnacentral:rRNA from 1 species